rnacentral:misc_RNA from 1 species
AAACUGCGAUAAGUAGUGUGAAUUGCAUUUAGUGAAUCAUCGAAUCUUUGAACGCACCCUGCACUCACUGGUAUUACGGUGAGUACGCCUGUUUCAGUAUCAUUGAAAACACACAAUCAAAACAUUUUCUUUGGUUUGAUUGGCUUUGGGUCUAUCAAAAAGUUUGGCUUGUUUCUUACAAGCCAAGCGGCCUGAAAUAUAUUGUCUGGCUAAUUGCAUCGUUGAUGAUCGCUAUUAGACUUUGGCUUUUUUAAAUGAACUGGAGGUUGAUUAACCAGUUUUAGCUUUAGUCAAAUGGUCAUUGUAAAAAAAAUCUCGAUCUUGGCUAGGUGUUUAUAGCCGAAAAUUUUUUUUUGGCUAUAACCGAAACCAAUAUAAUCACAUUUAGUUAUCGAUCUGAAAUCAGGUGGGACUACCCGCUGAACUUAAGC